rnacentral:rRNA from 1 species
CCUACGGGAGGCAGCAGUGGAGAAUCAUGCACAAUGGGGGAAAGCCUGAUGCAGCGACGCCGCGUGGGGGAAGGAAGGUCUCCGGAUGGUAAACUCCUUUCAUGUGGGAGCAAAUUAAAAAGAUAGUACCACAAGAGGAAGAGACGGCUAACGCUGUUGCAGCAGCCGCGGUAAUACAGAGGUCUCAAGCGUUGGUCGGAAUUACUGGGCGAAAAGGGUGCGUAGGCUGUGUCGUAAGUCGUGUGUGAAAGGGGCGGUCUCAACACGAGGACGGCACUUGGAACUGUGAUACUAGAGUAGUGGAGGGGGAAGCGGAAUUCCCGGUGUAGCGGUGAAAUGCGUAGAUAUUAGGAAGAACACCCGUGGCGAAGGCGGCUUUCUGGACUUUAACUGACGCUGAGGCACGAAGGCCUGGGGAGCGAAAAGGAUUAGAUACCCGAGUAGUC